rnacentral:rRNA from 1 species
CCUACGGGGGGCUGCAGUGGGGAAUAUUGCACAAUGGGCGGAAGCCUGAUGCAGCAACGCCGCGUGCGGGAUGACGGCCUUCGGGUUGUAAACCGCUUUCGCCUGUGACGAAGCGUGAGUGACGGUAAUGGGUAAAGAAGCACCGGCUAACUACGUGCCAGCAGCCGCGGUGAUACGUAGGGUGCGAGCGUUGUCCGGAUUUAUUGGGCGUAAAGGGCUCGUAGGUGGUUGAUCGCGUCGGAAGUGUAAUCUUGGGGCUUAACCCUGAGCGUGCUUUCGAUACGGGUUGACUUGAGGAAGGUAGGGGAGAAUGGAAUUCCUGGUGGAGCGGUGGAAUGCGCAGAUAUCAGGAGGAACACCAGUGGCGAAGGCGGUUCUCUGGGCCUUUCCUGACGCUGAGGAGCGAAAGCGUGGGGAGCGAACAGGAUUAGAUACCCCUGUAGUC